AGUGGAUGGGGAGCAACCUAGUUGUGCGUGUGUAAAGGUAGUGCCAAGAAAAGCGAUGAUCAUGUUGAAAAUCAAUUCCCGGUACCCGAAACCGACACAGGUGGGCAAGUAGAGAAUACUAAGGGGCGCGAGGUAACUCUCUCCAAGGAACUCGGCAAAAUGACCCCGUAACUUAGGGAGAAGGGGUGCCACCGAGAGGUGGUCGCAGUGAAGAGGCCCAGGCGACUGUUUAGCAAAAACAUAGGUCUCUGCAAACUCGAAAGAGGAGGUAUAGGGGCUGACGCCUGCCCAGUGCCGGAAGGUUAAAGAAGUUGGUCAGUUUUAGGAUGAAGCUAGCGACUGAAGCCCCGGUGAACGGCGGCCGUAACUAUAACGGUCCUAAGGUAGCGAAAUUCCUUGUCGGGUAAGUUCCGACCCGCACGAAAGGCGUAACGAUCUGGGCGCUGUCUCGGAGAGAGGCUCGGCGAAAUAGGAUUGUCUGUGAAGAUACGGACUACCUGCAUUUGGACAGAAAGACCCUAUGAGGCUUUACUAUAGCUUGGAAUUGUGUUCGGGCUUCCUGUGCGCAGGAUAGGUGGGAGGCGUAGAAGGUAUUCUUGUGGGGAUACUGGAGCCAACGGUGAGAUACCACUCUCAGGAGGCUAGAAUUCUAACUUAAUUAAGGACAGUUUCAGGUGGGUAGUUUGACUGGGGCGGUCGCCUCCAAAAAGGUAACGGAGGCGUACGAAGGUUCCCUCAGACUGGUUGGAAAUCAGUCGAAGAGUGCAAAGGCAGAAGGGAGCUUGACUGCGAGAAGUACAGUUCGAGCAGGGUGGAAACACGGUCUUAGUGAUCCGACGGUGCUGUGUGGAAGGGCCGUCGCUCAACGGAUAAAAGUUACUCUAGGAUAACAGGCUGAUCUCCCCCAAGAGUUCACAUCGACGGGGAGGUUUGGCACCUCGAUGUCGGCUCAUCGCAACCUGGGGCGGAAGUACGUCCCAAGGGUUGGGCUGUUCGCCCAUUAAAGCGGUACGUGAGCUGGGUUCAGAACGUCGUGAGACAGUUCGGUCCAUAUCCGAUGUAGGCGUGAGAAUAUUGAGAGGAGCCUUCCUUAGUACGAGAGGACCGGGAAGGACGCACCGCUGGUGUACCUGUUAUGAUGCCAAUUGUAAACGCAGGGUAGCCAAGUGCGGAGAGGAUAACCGCUGAAAGCAUCUAAGUGGGAAGCCCACCUCAAGAUGAGUAUUCUGGUGUAAGGUCACGGGAAGACGACCCGUAAAUAGGCACGAGGUGGAAGUGCAGAGAUGUAUGAAGCCGAAGUGUACUAAUAGACCGUCGGCUUGACC
rnacentral:rRNA from 1 species